rnacentral:rRNA from 1 species
AUUGAACGCUGGCGGCAUGCCUAACACAUGCAAGUCGAACGGCAGCACGGCAGUAGCAAUACUGUGGGUGGCGAGUGGCGGACGGGUGAGGAAUACGUCGGAAUCUGCCCAGUCGUGGGGGAUAACUAGCCGAAAGGUUAGCUAAUACCGCAUACGACCGAGAGGUGAAAGCGGGGGACCGCAAGGCCUCGCGCGAUUGGAUGAGCCGACGUCGGAUUAGCUAGUUGGUGGGGUAAAGGCCCACCAAGGCGACGAUCCGUAGCUGGUCUGAGAGGAUGAUCAGCCACACUGGAACUGAGACACGGUCCAGACUCCUACGGGAGGCAGCAGUGGGGAAUAUUGGACAAUGGGCGCAAGCCUGAUCCAGCAAUGCCGCGUGUGUGAAGAAGGCCUCGGUUGUAAAGGCACUUUUAUCAGGAACGAAAAGACGUUAGGAUUAAUACUCUGACGUGCUGACGGU